GUUCUUUAUAACCUUCAGAGAUACAGUUUAAAGAAAAUCAUGGCUGCACAGGAUGAACAUGUCAAAGCCGCAUGCAGAUUUCUCAGCAGACUCGGAGACACUUGUCAGUCUUGCAGUCAUGCAUCAACCUGCUCCUGAACCUCAGAGUUAUGAACACCAGAGAUACAAACUGAUCAAUCAACCACACACCUCAUCUGGAACCAGAAGUACGCAAUCAGGCAGCAGCAGACACAAAAACAAAACCAAA